rnacentral:rRNA from 1 species
AUUGAACGCUGGCGGCAUGCCUUACACAUGCAAGUCGAACGGCAGCACGGGAGCAAUCCUGGUGGCGAGUGGCGAACGGGUGAGUAAUAUAUCGGAACGUGCCCGGUCGUGGGGGAUAACGUAGCGAAAGCUACGCUAAUACCGCAUACGAUCUACGGAUGAAAGCGGGGGAUCGCAAGACCUCGCGCGAUUGGAGCGGCCGAUAUCAGAUUAGGUAGUUGGUGAGGUAAAGGCUCACCAAGCCGACGAUCUGUAGCUGGUCUGAGAGGACGACCAGCCACACUGGGACUGAGACACGGCCCAGACUCCUACGGGAGGCAGCAGUGGGGAAUUUUGGACAAUGGGCGCAAGCCUGAUCCAGCAAUGCCGCGUGCAGGAUGAAGCUGGUGUACUAGCUUUGUACGUACGAACGUAGAGCUC